UACGUAGGGUGCGAGCGUUAAUCGGAAUUACUGGGCGUAAAGCGUGCGCAGGCGGCUUUGCAAGACAGAUGUGAAAUCCCCGGGCUUAACCUGGGAAUGGCGCUUGUGACUGCAGUGCUGGAGUGCGGCAGAGGGGGAUGGAAUUCCGCGUGUAGCAGUGAAAUGCGUAGAUAUGCGGAGGAACACCGAUGGCGAAGGCAAUCCCCUGGGCCUGCACUGACGCUCAUGCACGAAAGCGUGGGGAGCAAACAGA
rnacentral:rRNA from 1 species